AGUGAACGCUGGCGGUAGGCCUAACACAUGCAAGUCGAACGGCAGCACAGUAAGAGCUUGCUCUUACGGGUGGCGAGUGGCGGACGAGUGAGGAAUACAUCGGAAUCUACUUUUUCGUGGGGGAUAACGUAGGGAAACUUACGCUAAUACCGCAUACGACCUACGGGUGAAAGCAGGGGAUCUUCGGACCUUGCGCGAUUGAAUGAGCCGAUGUCGGAUUAGCUAGUUGGCGGGGUAAAGGCCCACCAAGGCGACGAUCCGUAGCUGGUCUGAGAGGAUGAUCGGCCACACUGGAACUGAGACACGGUCCAGACUCCUACGGGAGGCAGCAGUGGGGAAUAUUGGACAAUGGGCGCAAGCCUGAUCCAGCCAUACCGCGUGGGUGAAGAAGGCCUUCGGGUUGUAAAGCCCUUUUGUUGGGAAAGAAAAGCAGCAGGUUAAUACCCCGCUGUUCUGACGGUACCCAAAGAAUAAGCACCGGCUAACUUCGUG
rnacentral:rRNA from 1 species